rnacentral:rRNA from 1 species
GAUGCACCAGUGGGGAAUAUUGGACAAUGGGGGCAACCCUGAUCCAGCAAUGCCGCGUGUGUGAAGAAGGUCUUCGGAUUGUAAAGCACUUUCGACGGGGACGAUGAUGACGGUAACCGUAGAAGAAGCCCCGGCUAACUUCGUGCCAGCAACCGCGGUAAUACGAAGGGGGCUAGCGUUGCUCGGAAUGACUGGGCGUAAAGGGCGCGUAGGCGGCGGCGUAAGUCAGAUGUGAAAUUCCUGGGCUUAACCUGGGGGCUGCAUUUGAGACUGCGUUGCUAGAGGAUGGAAGAGGCUCGUGGAAUUCCCAGUGUAGAGGUGAAAUUCGUAGAUAUUGGGAAGAACACCGGUGGCGAAGGCGGCGAGCUGGUCCAUUACUGACGCUGAGGCGCGAUAGCGUGGGGAGCAAA